GUAGGGACCAAGCGUUGUUCGGAUUUACUGGGCGUAAAGGGCGCGUAGGCGGCAUGACAAGUCACUUGUGAAAUCUCCGGGCUUAACUCGGAACGGUCAAGUGAUACUGUCGCGCUAGAGUGCGGAAGGGGCAAUCAGAAUUCUUGGUGUAGCGGUGAAAUGCGUAGAUAUCAAGAGGAAUACCUGAGGUGAAGACGGGCUGCUAGGCCGACACUGACGCUGAAGCGCGAAAGCCAGGGGAGCAAACGGGAUUAGAUACCCCGGUAGUCCUGGCCCUAAACGAUGAAUACUUGGUGUCUGGAGUUUUUAGUGCUCCGGGUGCCGUCGCUAACGUUUUUAGUAUUCCGCCUGGGGAGUACGCUCGCAAGAGUG
rnacentral:rRNA from 1 species